CCUACGGGGGGCAGCAGUGGGGAAUAUUGCACAAUGGGGGAAACCCUGAUGCAGCGACGCCGCGUGAGUGAAGAAGUAUUUCGGUAUGUAAAGCUCUAUCAGCAGGGAAGAAGCACGACGGUACCUGACUAAGAAGCCCCGGCUAACUACGUGCCAGCAGCCGCGGUAAUACGUAGGGGGAGAGCGUUAGCCGGAUUUACUGGGUGUAAAGGGAGCGUAGACGGUAUGGCAAGUCUGAAGUGAAACCCCAGGGCUUAACCCUGGGACGGCUUUGGAGACUGUUAGACUAGAGUGCAGGAGAGGUCAGUGGAAUUCCUAGUGUAGCGGUGAAAUGCGUAGAUAUUAGGAGGAACACCAGUGGCGAAGGCGGCUGACUGGACAGUAACUGACGUUGAGGCUCGAAAGCGUGGGGAGCAAACAGGAUUAGAUACCCGAGUAGUC
rnacentral:rRNA from 1 species